AGAGUUUGAUCCUGGCUCAGGAUGAACGCUAGCGGCAGGCCUAACACAUGCAAGUCGAGGGGCAGCACGGUGUAGCAAUACACUGGUGGCGACCGGCGCACGGGUGCGUAACGCGUAUGCAACCUACCCAUAACAGGGGGAUAACACUGAGAAAUUGGUACUAAUACCCCAUAACAUCAGGACCGGCAUCGGUUCUGGUUGAAAACUCCGGUGGUUAUGGAUGGGCAUGCGUUGUAUUAGCUGGUUGGUGAGGUAACGGCUCACCAAGGCAACGAUACAUAGGGGGACUGAGAGGUUAACCCCCCACAUUGGUACUGAGACACGGACCAAACUCCUACGGGAGGCAGCAGUGAGGAAUAUUGGUCAAUGGACGCAAGUCUGAACCAGCCAUGCCGCGUGCAGGAAGACGGCUCUAUGAGUUGUAAACUGCUUUUGUACGAGAGUAAACGCUCUUACGUGUAAGAGCCUGAAAGUAUCGUACGAAUAAGGAUCGGCUAACUCCGUGCCAGCAGCCGCGGUAAUACGGAGGAUCCAAGCGUUAUCCGGAUUUAUUGGGUUUAAAGGGUGCGUAGGCGGUUUGAUAAGUUAGAGGUGAAAUACCGGUGCUUAACACCGGAACUGCCUCUAAUACUGUUGAACUAGAGAGUAGUUGCGGUAGGCGGAAUGUAUGGUGUAGCGGUGAAAUGCUUAGAGAUCAUACAGAACACCGAUUGCGAAGGCAGCUUACCAAACUAUAUCUGACGUUGAGGCACGAAAGCGUGGGGAGCAAACAGGAUUAGAUACCCUGGUAGUCCACGCAGUAAACGAUGAUAACUCGCUGUCGGCGAUACACAGUCGGCGGCUAAGCGAAAGCGAUAAGUUAUCCACCUGGGGAGUACGUUCGCAAGAAUGAAACUCAAAGGAAUUGACGGGGGCCCGCACAAGCGGAGGAACAUGUGGUUUAAUUCGAUGAUACGCGAGGA
rnacentral:rRNA from 1 species